rnacentral:lncRNA from 1 species
GUAAAGAUAAACCCUAUUUUUAAACCUUGACUUUGUCUCAUCCGUUAUUGAACUUGGACAGACAACAGGUUUGGUCUGGGCGGGGUGUCUGUUUGUUUGAUAGAAGAUAUGAAGAGUGACCGGAGGACAUGUGAAAACUUAAUGGAGAAUUACUGUCAACCUCUGCACUUUAUCUUUUGAACCAUCGUGACAAAUACUUAGAACAGGGUGUCCUUUCAUACACUCCGGUUUAUGUUUGAUGAACAUUUGGUUGACUGAACUGUAACCUCACUGUGAAACCACACACUCAACACCUGGUCAAAAGAAUACAUGACUCAUUUAUAUCGACUGUAGUCUAGUUCAUCUGCUAUUUUUAAACAGUAAACUGAUUCUGAGGACAAACUCCAAAAAUGUGAACUUUUAGUUGGAUUCAACCUUUAUUUUAACCAGGUUGUCACAUUGUGGUCAAAAUAACUCAUUUUCAAGGAAGACCUGGCCAAGAAGGCAGCUCAAGUAAAAACCAAAGAAGACAUCGGUCUUCAUCUGUCAUUAAUCAUUUGAUUACGUACACAACAUUCAAAAUCCCCCUAAGUAUGUCCAUCCAUCCAGCCUCGGCCUACAGUAAAUCCUAACCCCAUCCAUCCAGCCUCGGCCUACUGUAAAUCCUAACCCCAUCCAUCCAGCCUCGGCCUACAGUAAAUCCUAACCCCAUCCAUCCAUCCUCGGCCUACUGUAAAUCCUAACCCCAUCCAUCCUCGGCCUACAGUAAGGCUAAACUAGCUAGCUGCAUUCGCUAGCUAGGUAAGUGAAAGUGAAAAGAAAUACAACUAAAUAUAGCUCUCUCUCUCUUGCUUCUCUUACAUUUUUUAAGAAAUUAAUUUGUUCAAAACUGUUCAACUAUUGUCUUUCUCUCUCUUUGAGUCAACUACUCAUCACAUUUUAUGCAGUGCAGUGCAGUGCUAGCUAGCUGUAGCUUAUGCUUUCAAUACUGGAUUCAUUCUCUGAUCCUUUCAUUGGAUGGACAAUAUGUCAGUCCAUGACACAAGAGCUCUGAUAGGUUGGAGGAUGUCCUCCGGAAGUUGUCAUAACUAUUGUGUAUGGAAGGGGAUGAGAACUCCCGAGUGGUGCAGCACUCUAAGGCACUGCAUCUCAGUGCAAGAGGCUACAAUCCCUGGUUCAAAUCCAGGUUGUAUUACAUCUGGCUGUGAUUGGGAGUCCCAUAGGGUGGUGCACAAUUGGCCCAGUGUCGUCUGGGUUUGGCUGGGGGUAGGCCAUCAUUGUAAAUAAGAAUUUGUUCUUAACUGACUUGCCUAGUUAAAUAACAAAAAUAAAUAUAAGCCUCCUAGGUUUGAAGUCAAUGUACUUGAAGGAGGAUGGAAGCUUGCUGUCCUCCGGCUACACAGUGGUGCUACACCAGAGAGUGCUGUUGAGGCUACUGUAGACCUUUGUUGUUUAAAUCAAUUAUUUGGUGACAUGUUAACAUAUUUAGUUUAGUUUUAUCUAAAAAGGAUCACUUUUUUUAUUGUUUCACAAAUUGUUAUUUUUUAUUUAAAUUCACUGAGGAGGAUGGUCCUCUCCUUCCUCCUCUGAGGAGCCUCCACUGCUGUAAGCCGGCAUGGACACAAUAUGACACACAGCAUAAAAUAACGCAACCAACAAAACAAGAAACACACUGUUUACACAACCUAUGGUAGCUUAACGCCACUUUGAAGUUGAUAACAGUUGCUGCUGCCGUCUCCAUUAUCUCACUAGCACAACACAGGCUAGCUAACAUCGUCACACGACUACAACACAAGCUAGCUAACAUCGUCACACUACUACAACACAAGCUAGCUAACAUCGUCACACUACUACAACACAAGCUAGCUAACAUCGUCACACAACUACAACACAAGCUAGCUAACAUUGUCACACGACUACAACACAAGCUAGCUAACAUUGUGACACGACUACAACACAAGCUAGCUAACAUCGUCACACUACUACAACACAAGCUAGCUAACAUCGUCACACAACUACAACACAAGCUAGCUAACAUUGUCACACGACUACAACACAAGCUAGCUAACAUUGUGACACGACUACAACACAAGCUAGCUAACAUUGUGACACGACUACAACACAAGCUAGCUAACAUCGUCUCACUACUACAACACAAGCUAGCUAACAUUGUCACACGACUACAACACAAGCUAGCUAACAUUGUGACACGACUACAACACAAGCUAGCUAACAUCGUCACACUACUACAACACAAGCUAGCUAACAUUGUCACACGACUACAACACAAGCUAGCUAACAUUGUGACACGACUACAACACAAGCUAGCUAACAUUGUGACAUGACUACAACACAAGCUAGCUAACAUCGUCUCACUACUACAACACAAGCUAGCUAACAUUGCCACACGACUACAACACAAGCUAGCUAACAUUGUGACACGACUACAACACAAGCUAGCUAACAUCGUCACACUACUACAACACAAGCUAGCUAACAUCGUCACACUACUACAACACAGGCUAGCUAACAUCGUCACACGACUACAACACAAGCUAGCUAACAUCGUCACACGACUACAACACAAGCUAGCUAAAGACAAUCUAAAGAUUUCUUCAGAUUAAAUCAGAAGAUGAUUAUUAAGAUGAUUGUAAAGAUUAAAUAGAAAUUAAAACAACAUUUUUUUUUUUUAUAAAACAUACAUUUUUAUAAAUCCUUAGGGAAGGCCUAGAAGGCCCUGACGGUUCCCCACUGAUACAGAAAGACUGAGCAACCAGGAAUGUCUCUGAAAAGCUGCAUGUGAAUGUGCUUAUCUGAAAUGUGAUUGUGACUGUUUUAUCUCUCUCCGUAAAGUCACUGUUUUCUCUCUCCAUAAAGUCACUGUUUUAUCUCUCUCCGUAAAGUCACUGUUUUAUCUCUCUCCGUAAAGUCACUGUUUUAUCUCUCUCCGUAAAGUCACUGUUUUAUCUCUCUCUGUAAAGUCACUGUUUUCUCUCUCUGUAAAGUCACUGUUUUAUCUUUCUCCAUAAAGUCACUGUUUUAUCUCUCUCCGUAAAGUCACUGUUUUAUCUCUCUCUGUAAAGUCACUGUUUUAUCUCUCUCAAUAUAGUCACUGUUUUAUCUCUCUCAAUAUAGUCACUGUUUUAUCUCUCUCCAUAUAGUCACUGUUUUAUCUCUCUCUGUAAAGUCAUUGUUUUAUCUCUCUCCAUAUAGUCACUGUUUUAUCUCUCUCCAUAUAGUCACUGUUUUAUCUCUCUCCAUAUAGUCACUGUUUUAUCAAUCUCUGUAAAGUCACUGUUUUAUCUCUCUCCGUAAAGUCACUGUUUUAUCUCUCUCCAUAUAGUCACUGUUUUAUCUCUCUCCAUAUAGUCACUGUUUUAUCUCUCUCCAUAUAGUCACUGUUUUAUCUCUCUCCAUAUAGUCACUGUUUUAUCUCUCUCUCCAUAUAGUCACUGUUUUAUCUCUCUCCAUAUAGUCACUGUUUUAUCUCUCUCUCUCCAUAUAGUCACUGUUUUAUCUCUCUCCAUAUAGUCACUGUUUUAUCUCUCUCUCCAUAUAGUCACUGUUUUAUCUCUCUCCAUAUAGUCACUGUUUUAUCUCUCUCUAUAUAGUCACUGUUUUAUCUCUCUCUCCAUAUAGUCACUGUUUUAUCUCUCUCUAUAUAGUCACUGUUUUAUCUCUCUCCAUAGAGUCACUGUUGUAUCUCUCUCCAUAGACACAACAAGCCCUACAGAGAGUAUAAAGCCUAAUGCAGUCUACAGCCUCUCUGAUUGGUCGAUGCUACAAGUACUGGUCUGGGUGACCAUGUCAACACAACCAGGGUUCCCAGGAGCAGGGGGAAUAUCUAAAGGAAGGUGGGUCAGUGUGGUUCUGGGGGAGCCCCAAACCAUGCACCGCCCCGUCCAGCCCACCGCCCCGUCCAGCCCACCGCCCUCGCCCAGUGCUCCCGUCCAGCACCCCGGUCCAGCGCCCCCCAGUCCAGCUCCCCGGUC